rnacentral:rRNA from 1 species
GGGGAAUAUUGCGCAAUGGGGGAAACCCUGACGCAGCAAUACCGCGUGAGUGAAGAAGGUUUUCGGAUCGUAAAGCUCUGUUAUUGGGGAAGAAAAAAAGACGGUACCCAAGAAGAAAGUCCCGGCUAACUACGUGCCAGCAGCCGCGGUAAUACGUAGGGGGCUAGCGUUGUUCGGAUUUACUGGGCGUAAAGCGCACGUAGGCGGAUUUUUAAGUCAGGGGUGAAAUCCCGGGGCUCAACCCCGGAACUGCCUUUGAUACUGGAAGUCUUGAGUAUGGUAGAGGUGAGUGGAAUUCCGAGUGUAGAGGUGAAAUUCGUAGAUAUUCGGAGGAACACCAGUGGCGAAGGCGGCUCACUGGACCAUUACUGACGCUGAGGUGCGAAAGCGUGGGGAGCAAACA